GUGGGGAAUCUUCCGCAAUGGACGAAAGUCUGACGGAGCAACGCCGCGUGAGUGAAGAAGGUUUUCGGAUCGUAAAGCUCUUUCGUUAGGGACGUACGUGCUCUUUGUGAAUAAUGAGGAGUAAUGACGGUACCUAAAUAAGAAGCCACGGCUAACUACGUGCCAGCAGCCGCGGUAAUACGUAGGUGGCAAGCGUUGUCCGGAAUUAUUGGGCGUAAAGCGCGCGCAGGCGGGAUAUCAAGUCUGUCUUAAAAGUGCGAGGCUCAACCUCGUGAGGGGACAGAAACUGGUAUUCUUGAGUGUCGGAGAGGAAAGUGGAAUUCCAAGUGUAGCGGUGAAAUGCGUAGAGAUUUGGAAGAACACCAGUGGCGAAGGCGACUUUCUGGACGAUGUCUGACGCUGAGGCGCGAAAGCUAGGGGAGCGAACGGGAUUAGAUACCCGAGUAGUCC
rnacentral:rRNA from 1 species